UACGGGGGGGGCAAGCGUUGUUCGGAAUUACUGGGCGUAAAGGGCGCGUAGGCGGUUUGCUAAGUUGGAUGUGAAAACUCUGGGCUUAACCCAGAGCCUGCAUCCAAAACUGGCAAACUUGAGUACUGGAGGGGAAAGCGGAAUUCCUGGUGUAGCGGUGAAAUGCGUAGAUAUCUGGAGGAAUACCGGUGGCGAAGGCGGCAUCCUGGACCGGCAUUGACGCUGAGGAGCGAAAGCGUGGGGAGCGAACAGG
rnacentral:rRNA from 1 species